UACGUAGGGGGCGAGCGUUGUCCGAAGUUACUGGGCGUAAAGAGCUCGUAGGCGGCCUGUUGCGUCCGCUGUGAAAUCCCGGGGCUUAACCCCGGGCUUGCAGUGGAUACGGGCAGGCUGGAGGCAGGCAGGGGGAGAACGGAAUUCCUGGUGUAGCGGUGAAAUGCGCAGAUAUCAGGAGGAACACCGGUGGCGAAGGCGGUUCUCUGGGCAUUACCUGACGUGAGGAGCGAAAGUGUGGGGAGCGAAC
rnacentral:rRNA from 1 species